ACGCUCGACACCUACGGGAGACAGCAGUGGGGAAUAUUGCACAAUGGGGGAAACCCUGAUGCAGCGACGCCGCGUGGAGGAAGAAGGUCUUCGGAUUGUAAACUCCUGUUGUUGGGGAAAAAGAGGAUGGUACCCAACAAGGAAGUGACGGCUAACUACGUGCCAACAGCCGCCGGUAAGUACUGAGCGGGCGUGGCGAAGGACG
rnacentral:rRNA from 1 species